GACGAACGCUGGCGGCGUGCCUAAUACAUGCAAGUCGAGCGGAACUGGGGGGAGCUUGCUCCUUCCAGUUUAGCGGCGGACGGGUGAGUAACACGUGGGCAACCUGCCCUGCAGAUCGGGAUAACUCCGGGAAACCGGUGCUAAUACCGAAUAGUUUGGCGCCUCUCCUGAGGCGCUACGGAAAGACGGUUUCGGCUGUCACUGAAGGAUGGGCCCGCGGCGCAUUCGCUAGUUGGGGGGGUAACGGCCCACCAAGGCGACGAUGCGUAGCCGACCUGAGAGGGUGACCGGCCACACUGGGACUGAGACACGGCCCAGACUCCUACGGGAGGCAGCAGUAGGGAAUCUUCCGCAAUGGACGCAAGUCUGACGGAGCAACGCCGCGUGAGUGACGAAGGUUUUCGGAUCGUAAAACUCUGUUGUGAGGGAAGAACACGUACCAACUAACUAUUGGUACCUUGACGGUACCUCACCAGAAAGCCACGGCUAACUACGUGCCAGCCGCCGCCGUAA
rnacentral:rRNA from 1 species